rnacentral:rRNA from 1 species
AUGCGUUCCUGCACCAUAACUUUGCAUUUCGCUGGGAGCAAUCUGCAGAAGGCUGGUGCGGAGAGGGCUGCGGCGGCGGAGAGCUGCGCCCGAAAGAAGGCUAGGGUCGAGUCCGAGGCCAGGGCUGCUGCGUCGAAGAUCACCGUCAACUUAGACCACAAGUUGCUGGAGUGCUCCGCGUGCUGCAGCCCCUUGGCUCCACCCCUUUUCCAGUGCACAAAUGGCCACAUCGCAUGCUCAGAGUGCCGCACCAAUGCGGAGUACAGUUGCAGCUUGUGUGCCGAGCCGGCCAACACCCGCUGCGACAUCAUGGAGCGCGUACUUGGCGGCAUGACAGCGCCAUGCUCGUUCCGGGAGUUCUGCUGCUCCGCAACGAUCCCGUUCACGAAGAAGCUGACCCAUGAAGAGUCCUGCCUCCAUGCCCCGUGCCACUGCCCCAUCCCCUACUGCCGCCUCUAUGCCAACAGUGGCCGGUCCCUGUGUGAGCACAUCGAGACGAAGCACUGCUUGGUCCCUUACGGCGAUGCCACAGCCGGCAGCCUUUCCCCCGUAACGCUGUCCGACAAUGAGCCGGUGCGCCUGGUGUUCCUGGAUGCCAGGGCGAUGUUCCUGCUGGUGGUCGAGCGGUGCGUGCCGUCAGGGCGUGCCGUGUCGGUGGUCCAGCUCGUCAGCGAGCCGGUCAAGGAGGAGGAGGAGAAGGAUUUCAAGUACAAGAUCCAGAAUCAUGCUAUAAUUUUUGUGAAAUGCAUGUCACUUUAUGUUGUGGGUUUCCCCGUGGGGAUGAAAUGCCCGAUGGGGACGGGGAUGGGAAAGUUUCUCUCCCCGCGCACGGGGAUGGGGAUGGGGACGGCCAUGAAGUUGGUGUCACGGGCACGGGCAACCGCGUCGCUCUUCGUCUCGGAUGACGUGUGGUCUCCCCGGGAUUCUCCCGUGUACCUCGAGCUAGCUUAA